CAAGCCCGUACGCUACCAGGUGCCAGCAGAACACCUCUGUACCUGUAAGGGAAGACAAACAAGCAGCAGACAAAGAAGGAAACAGAAAAACAACAAUAGAAAUUUGACAGCAUUUGUUGUAAUGAUUCGGCUAUAAAGCCAAGAAUUAUUUCAUUGUAUGAGGGUUACAAAAAAAAACACAUACCUAUCAAUCGAAAAACAAAAAGAAACAAAGAUUUUCACAUGUAGUCCCUUUCUCUUAUUUUCUUGAGUCUCGAAAUAAGUAUAAAAGAAUAAAAGAGAAAUCACUUGUUCUUCGUGCCUCGCCACCAUCCCUUUUAGUUCAUGAAAGCAACAAGAAACCCUAGGGUUUCGAACAGGCUUCGAAGAAGAGGAAUACGAGAUGGUUAAAACACAAGGGCCGAAUCUUAAUUUUUUAUUAUUAUUUAUUUUAGAAGAUUGCAAGUAGAUUUAGGCUUGCUUAAAAAAGGGAGAGGGUUCCAAAUACUUUUAUUUUCUGGCAUGGCGGAGCCACCGCGCUAGCUCGCCG
rnacentral:lncRNA from 1 species